rnacentral:lncRNA from 10 species
CUUAGAGGAUCCAUGAUAUUAUAGACACAUGGAUUCAAGAACACUGUCUUCCCCAAGCUGUGAAUGGCGGAGUUUUAACUCAAAGAAUCCUGAUUUUGCUCACAGAUGAAGCCAGCCAAAUCCUUCCUUCCUUAGACCAGUGAAGCUAGAGAUGAACGGCCAAAGUUAUGGACAAAAAGGUGGGCAAAGAAAUGUACACAGAAGUCCGAUUAAAAUAUUUGUGAUACCUUUUUGUUUUCUAACAAGAUGUACAAAUACAACUUGAAGCCAAGUUAUUCCAGCCUUGAUUAUGGACAUUAUGGCUGGAAUUGCAGCAGCUUACAUGUGAUCAUGAGUGAAAGGCCAAGAAAUUCAGCAUGAUGUGUUUUCUGUACUUGAUCCAGGAACCACCAAUCUCAAGAUUUCUUAUAAUGUCAGAAAGACAAUACCCUGUUUGUUUAAGUCACUGUGGCCUAGGUUUCUUUUACUUGUAGCAGACGGCAUACCUGAGUGACUAGAUGAAUAGGAAAUUCAGUUGAGAUGUGCUAAUUAAAUAGAAUAAUAGCCUAAUGGAGCUAAAAGAUCCUUAGAAAUCACAUUGAUCUGUAUGUGUGUUUUACAUCUGAGGUCACUGAAGUCCAGAAAGUUAAGUGACACACAGUUUAGGGACAGACAUUGCAACAUCUGACACCUGAUAACUAGCUGAUAGGCUUUAACCACGAAUGAAUAGAUAGUCAUUUAAUGUCAACUAUAUGCAGAGUAAAAUGCUAGAUUCUAUAAUAACAUUUUAAUUUUUGUAGAUGUCUUUACUUCUUUGGUAGGACUUUUAUAUGUACCAUCUCAAUUAAAUCUUAUCAAAGUUCUAUUGAAAUUAUCGGUGUAGGUAUCAGUCUGUGUAUUUUAUAGACUGUACAAUUGAAGCACCAAUGGAAAGGACAGCAUGCCCAAGAUAACAAAGAAAUUCAAUGGUAUAGUUUGAACAGGGAAGGAAUCUUUCUUUUAAUUUUAUAAAAAUCAAUCAUUGAAAGCAAAUUACUUCCUUAAAACACAAA